AGAGAGUCGCAUUACUGGCGGAAGUGGAGUUUACCACAGGGAGUGCGAUUUAUAAAGUAAAAUGUCGACCGCCUGGGCAAAUGUC
rnacentral:ncRNA from 2 species